CCGAAUUGUCGACACGAGUUGUUGCUGGCCCCCAAACGGGGCACGUGCACGCUCUGUUCACACAUCCACUCACACCUGUGCACCUCUGUAGUUCUGUGGCCUGGGAACUCUGUCCCCCUCGCUGCGGUUCUACGUCUUUACACACACGCCGUAACGAAGUCUUAUGGAAUGUAUGUCGCGUCUAACGCAAUACAAUA
rnacentral:misc_RNA from 1 species